AACCCCACGGCAGUCCUCAAGCCUUACGUCUAGGUCGCGCCGCGCUCUCCGGCGGGCGCCGCCGCCGCCGUCUCUACCGCAGGCACCCACGCUUACCAAUCCCUCUGCUUCUGUAUCUACCACCGCAACCUCUUCUCGCCCCGCCGUCUCGUUUCCGGGAGAAUGACGUCCUCGCAGCGUCGCCGGCGCGGCCGCGGCCGCACGCUCGUGCAGCGCGGUCGGUUCAAGCGCAGGCGUGCCGGUGGCUUGGGGGGGCCCUCGGUGGCGUUGCCGUGUUCUCCAAUUGGUCCUCCUGCUACUCAGAUUCUUCCAAUUGGUCCUGCUGCUACUCCGAUUCUCCCGGGCGCUGUUAGGGUAUUAUUUUUUUUAUUCCAAAAUCGAAAAGCGUGAGAAGAUGCUGUCAUUUGUCGCUUUCAAAGUACCUGUGAUGGAAAUGGCCUUACCAGGUGAUACCAGGAAGUAUAUCAAAUCCUCUGAUCCUGCUAGACACACCACCACUGCCAUUGUGCAUUGGCUAUGUGACCUCCAUGACCAUGGUUGGACACUGGAUGGGAAAUUUGAUGCUUCAGAUUUUGGUAUUACUCAUCUCGGUGAUCUUAAAGGCGAAAAACACCUCUUGAAUAAGUUGAAGAGGCUCAGAGGGCAGAUGAGGUUGAAGGACAUGGAGGCAGGGGCCGAUAUGAUCGAGCACGCUGUAUAUUUUGAUGGUUUACUAGUUGGACUGCCUGUUGACACCGAGAACCUAAUAUUGCUGAUGAGGAACUUCAAGCGCAAAAAUUAUUUUCUAAUUAAGUUCCAUAUUUGCCAUGACAACGAAGCGAUGAAAUCUUUUGUGUUAGUUGUGAUGUAUAACCAUCUGAUGGUAAUUCAGGUUCUGGACAAUGUAAAAUACAGAAGAAUCAUAAACAAGAUUCAGUGUGGCAUGAAGAACAGGAUUGACAGAGCUAAGAAGAAUCUCAACCAUGGCCAGGCUCAUUUUGUAAAAGAUGACUCUGUUGACAUUUGGAGUCGGCAAGUAGGUUUAGUGGCAGCGAUAGCAGCAUUAGAGAAGCUUGCGGCGGCUGGGACAGCAGGAGCUCAACCACCGCCACCACAACAAGUAGUUGGUGCAGAUCAAGCGGACCACAUGUAUAGUGUCAUAGUGCCUAAGAUGUUGUGUUAGUUUCAGAAGGCGAUGCACAAGGAAGGCGAACUACAUAAUCUCGAGUGGUAUGAAGAGAAAGCUGUCCGCCUCAUUCGCAAAUGACCUCAUCAUGGUCACUGGAGUAUCAUGUGGAUCUAGCUAUAGGGUUUAGGUGAGCUUAAGCAGCAGAAAAUAUUGGGAUCUAGCUUAGUACUAUGGUUGUAAAAUGUGUUCCUGAAUUGUUCACUACUAUGGGUCUUUGGCAAAUUUUGGGUGGCAACUGAUGGCGACAAUGGUAGUUGGCAAGUGAUGGCCCCUAUCUAUGAUGUAGCAACGACAGUUGCAUGCUUAAGUGCUGAAUUGAUGUGUGUAAUUGGACAUCAACAAUAUAUGUGCUUCAGGGACA